rnacentral:rRNA from 1 species
AUUGAACGCUGGCGGCGUGCUUAACACAUGCAAGUCGAGCGGCAGCGCGGGAGCAAUCCUGGCGGCGAGCGGCGAACGGGUGAGUAAUGCUUCGGAAUCUGCCCUUCAGUGGGGAAUAACCAGUCGAAAGACUGGCUAAUACCGCAUACGAACUGAGGUUGAAAGCAGGGGAUCGCAAGACCUUGCGCUGAUGGAUGAGCCGAAGUCGGAUUAGCUUGUUGGUGGGGUAAUGGCCUACCAAGGCGACGAUCCGUAGCUGGUCUGAGAGGACGACCAGCCACACUGGGACUGAGACACGGCCCAGACUCCUACGGGAGGCAGCAGUGGGGAAUAUUGGACAAUGGGGGCAACCCUGAUCCAGCGACGCCGCGUGUGUGAAGAAGGCCUGCGGGUUGUAAAGCACUUUUAGUGGGGAGGAAGGUCGUGCGACCUAACACGUCGUGGAAUUGACUUAACCCACAGAAAAAGACACCGGCUAACUCUGUGCC